GCGAAUCUCGAAAGCCUGUCUCAGUUCGGAUUGGAGGCUGAAACCCGCCUCCAUGAAGUUGGAUUCGCUAGUAAUCGCGCAUCAGCCAUGGCGCGGUGAAUACGUUCCCGGGCCUUGUACACACCGCCCGUCAAGCCAUGGAAGCUGGGGGUGCCUGAAGUUCGUGACCGGAAGGAGCGACCUAGGGCAAAACCGGUGACUGGGGCUAAGUCGUAACAAGGUAUC
rnacentral:rRNA from 1 species